CUAAAAUAACUCGUCGUUCUCGUAGGCAGCGCGCCAGCGCCGCCGUCUACUCUCCUUUCUUGCCGCGCGGCGCCGCCGUCUACUCUCGCUCACCGGAAUGCCGUCCCAGCCUCAGCCGAGCUCCAUCGGCGGAACCUCCCAGACCCCGGCGCCGUUCCAGACCGCGCCCGUCUUCACCGGCGGAAGCCCCCGGACCCUGGCGACGCUCUCCGCUCAGUCCGUCCCCCGCGUCACGCGGAGAAGCAUUGCGCUCGUCGAUUGGUGUUUGGAGAGGGUGGAGGGCGAGGAGGGCAAGAUCCGCGUCGCUGGAACCACCUACACCCCGCAAACGAGCCCGCAAACGAGGAGAGAAGCAUCGUCCUCAAAGGGAAGCAGGAAAGUGGCAGGCCGAGUGUUCAGAUCAUCUGCUAUUGUUAGGCGCCAUGAUCACUUCAGAAUUAUGUCCGAGGAUGGUUACCUCAUACGGAUAGGCUGUCUCUUGAAUAUUCCCAAAACACGUAACAAUGGAUUUUCUGAAGAGGUGUGUGAAUGCUUUGAGUUUGGCUUUCCAAUUCAAUGGCACAGGCUUGUUAAUCCAAAGAUGGUGCCCGAUAAUAAACAUGCACUGUCACCAUCAGAAACAACUGCUAGUGCACCAAGUCAUUCAGUUGGAUAUUACAUGGAGAAGUUCUUAAGUGACAGUUUUUCCAAUUCUAACAGAUAUUCUUUCACAGAGAAUGAUUCUUACACAUCUGUAGUGUGUACUGGCAGCAGAAAUGGACUUACUACCCAAACCCUUUCAAACUUACCAGAUGAUAAUGCAGGAAACAUAACUGUAUCUUGGGGAUUAUAUGGCCUCGGGAUGGACAUGUCUGAGAAACCUUGGACACCACCUGCAGAAGCGUGUAAUAAUAGACAAGAAAGUGAUCAACAUGAAAGUAUGCAAAUAGAUGCAUGUAAACAAGAGUUAGUUAAUCGCUCCAUGAGUUCUGUUUCAGUUAAGCAAAGUAUAAGUUCCAUCAGCCCCAACUCAAAAGUAGACGGCAACAGAAUUGUACCAUCCAAAAUUAUGUCAGUUGUGAAUGAAAGUUACAGGAGCACAGUAGGUUGUGGUCAGGCUGAGGAAGACGUUGGUAUUCAGCAAGAGAAAAAGCACAGCUGUUCAAGUGAGCAUGGAAUGGUUACUCUUUCUAUUAACUGUACAUCCUCUCAACUAGGUGCACCAGGAAUUCCAAAAUUUGGGAAAGAUUCAGUGAACCUUUGGACUACAGAUGCAUUAGAACUAUCAACUGAAGGGAUGACUCCAAAGAUUGGAGCUGACAGUACUGACAGGAGAUUACGAAGUGGCAAAAUUCUUGGAAUGCCAAGUGGUGGACUAAUGAAUAGAGGCCACAAGCUGAAAAAGAUCAAGCAGGAAGCAUCCAGUAAACAGAUGGUUAAUCAAGGGGCUACAUGCACUGUGGAUCUGACUUCUCAUGAAAAUUCAUAUGAAGCUUUGCUGGAAUGCUGUCAAGCAAUCAUGUGACUUGUUGAAUCGUUACUGGGCAAAGACCUGUACGGCCUAUUUGGUAGGUCUCAUUAGAUGUCAAUAAUUGCAGGAUUUUUCAGCAGCUGAGAUUGUCGUUGAAGAAAAGCUGGAAUCACAUAGUUCAUGCCUUAAAGGACGAGGAGGACCAGCGAAGGGGAAGAGGAAGAGGGAGAGAUGGUAGGAUUCAGCGUGUCUGUUUUCAAGCCGGAUGUGAACCGUGUUUCAGUUUGUUUCUCGGCUUGAGUAGCUAACUUAUGUAGAUGGGUCGUGUGUGCCAGUUCCAUGAGCAGAUGGUGCCACUAAGGGUGUGUUUAGUUUGAGGUCAAAGUAGGAUGAGUCAGGGGCGACAUCGUUCCCUCGACUUUUUGGGAUCACGUCGCCACAAAAAACUACUCCGGGGUUUUUCUCGCUCAUGCGUGAUUCUCAUCCAAACACUGUUGAAACUGUGGUCACUCUAUUUCAUUCCUCCAUUUACAUCCAACCAAAUACACUCUAAUUUACACGCCUCA